GUGAACGCUGGCGGUAGGCCUAACACAUGCCAGUCGCACGGCAGCACAGGAGAGCUUGCUCUCUGGGUGGCGAGUGGCGGACGGGUGAGGAAUACAUCGGAAUCUGCCCAGUCGUGGGGGAUAACGUAGGGAAACUUACGCUAAUACCGCAUACGACCUUCGGGUGAAAGAGGGGGAUCGCAAGACCUCUCGCGAUUGGAUGAGCCGAUGUCGGAUUAGCUAGUUGGCGGGGUAAUGGCCCACCAAGGCGACGAUCCGUAGCUGGUCUGAGAGGAUGAUCAGCCACACUGGAACUGAGACACGGUCCAGACUCCUACGGGAGGCAGCAGUGGGGAAUAUUGGACAAUGGGCGCAAGCCUGAUCCAGCCAUACCGCGUGGGUGAAGAAGGCCUUCGGGUUGUAAAGCCCUUUUGUUGGGAAAGAAAUCUUUCAGGCUAAUACCCUGGGAGGAUGACGGUACCCAAAGAAUAAGCACCGGCUAACUUCGUG
rnacentral:rRNA from 1 species